GAGUUUGAUCCUGGCUCAGAUUGAACGCUGGCGGCAGGCCUAACACAUGCAAGUCGAGCGGCAGCGGGAAAGUAGCUUGCUACUUUUGUCGGCGAGCGGCGGACGGGUGAGUAAUGCCUGGGAAAUUGCCCAGUCGAGGGGGAUAACAGUUGGAAACGACUGCUAAUACCGCAUACGCCCUACGGGGGAAAGCAGGGGACCUUCGGGCCUUGCGCGAUUGGAUAUGCCCAGGUGGGAUUAGCUUGUUGGUGAGGUAAUGGCUCACCAAGGCGACGAUCCCUAGCUGGUCUGAGAGGAUGAUCAGCCACACUGGAACUGAGACACGGUCCAGACUCCUACGGGAGGCAGCAGUGGGGAAUAUUGCACAAUGGGGGAAACCCUGAUGCAGCCAUGCCGCGUGUGUGAAGAAGGCCUUCGGUUGUAAGCACUUCUAGCGAGGAGGAAAGGUGAGUGCUAAUACGUAUCAGNUCGUGACGUUACUCGUCAGAAGAAGCGACCGGCUAAC
rnacentral:rRNA from 1 species